rnacentral:tRNA from 1 species
GCCUACCUAGCUCAGUUGGUUAGAGCACCUGACUGUUAAUCAGGGGGUCGCCUGUUCGAGCCAGGCGGUGGGCGCCA